rnacentral:rRNA from 1 species
AUUGAACGCUGGCGGCAUGCCUUACACAUGCAAGUCGAACGGCAGCACGGGAGCAAUCCUGGUGGCGAGUGGCGAACGGGUGAGUAAUAUAUCGGAACGUGCCCAGUCGUGGGGGAUAACGUAGCGAAAGCUACGCUAAUACCGCAUACGAUCUAUGGAUGAAAGCGGGGGAUCGCAAGACCUCGCGCGAUUGGAGCGGCCGAUAUUAGAUUAGGUAGUUGGUGAGGUAAAGGCUCACCAAGCCGACGAUCUGUAGCUGGUCUGAGAGGACGACCAGCCACACUGGGACUGAGACACGGCCCAGACUCCUACGGGAGGCAGCAGUGGGGAAUUUUGGGACAAUGGGCGCAAGCCUGAUCCAGCAAUGCCGCGUGCAGGAUGAAGGCC